AUUGAACGCUGGCGGCAGGCCUAACACAUGCAAGUCGACGAGUGGGGGGCGGGGUGGUAAUGUCUGGGAAACUGCCUGAUGGGGGGGGAUAACUAAUGGAAACGGUAGCUAAUACCGCAUACCAUCAGAUGUUGCCCGAAUGGGUUAGCUAGUUGGUGGGGUAACGGCUCACCCAGGCGACGAUCCCUAACUGGUCUGAGAGGAUGACCAGCCACACUGGAACUGAGACACGGUCCAGACUCCUACGGGAGGCAGCAGUGGGGAAUAUUGCACAAUGGGCGCAAGCCUGAUGCAGCCAUGCCGCGUGUAUGAAGAAGGCCUUCGGGUUGUAAAGUACUUUCAGCGGGGAGGCGUUACCCGCAGAAGAAGCACCGGCUAACUCCGUGCCAGCAGCCGCGGUAAUAC
rnacentral:rRNA from 1 species